rnacentral:tRNA from 1 species
GCUUGUGAAGGAUAACAGCGUAUCCGUUGGUCUUAGGAACCAAAAACUCUUGGUGCAAAUCCAAGUAGAAGCU